rnacentral:misc_RNA from 1 species
GCGCUACUAGUCCAGUGG